rnacentral:rRNA from 1 species
CACUUUUCAAACAACGGAUCUCUUGGGUCUCGCCUCAGAGACGAAGACUCCGAGAUGUCAGAAGUUCUGUGAAUUGCAGAAUUCUCGCUAGACUCAUCUUCAUCUUUGAACGCACCUUGCGCCCUUUGGUAUGUCCGAAGGGCAUAGCCUUGUUAUGAGUGUCAUGA